GCAGCAGCAGCCAAAGCUAAUUCAGGGCACAGUGAACAAGGACAGGGAGAAACCAGCAGCCCCAAGGCACCUGAUCCACAGGGCAGAGUUCUCUCGUAACGUUACUUCCUGGUUAUUGAUGCUGCAAGGCCUCCGGCUUCUGGGUCAGCAGUAUUGAAUUGCUUCCCUGGGACAUACUCCUCUGGAGCUGCCCCUGCCCGGACUGGGAGGAUUGCUCUGGAGCAGUAAAUUGGGGACAAUCGACAUCAUCGCUGAACACGCAGCAAAGAGAAGUGCAUGAAGGUGCCUCUAGACGGUCGGCAUGUUGCCGGAGGGAUUCAAGGACAUACCGGAAUGUUAGUCUCCUCUGCCUCCUUCCCAGCCAAAGUCUUGCUUUGCUUCCAAAGCUAUCUGACCGGAGAUCUGUCUGAUGCCUAACAGAGCUCAGUUGCAGUAUUUCACUCUUCACCGCUUGGCUUUUUGAAGUAGGAACUAAUAGGAACUCCUUUCAACUCUGAUUGGCUCCAAUCAGCAGGAAACAACAAGGAAGCAAGUUAGAAGACUCUUCUCAGUGGCUAACACGCUCCCCUUCCAUCUGAUUGGCUCAUAGGACACUGGAGAGACAUAGGCCCCCUGCUGGGACUCCCAAAAAAAUUUUCCACAUGGGCAGACGUUUAGCAGUGUAUAAAGGGUUGCAUGCCUGGCUAUAUGGAAAGCAAACCACUGCCCCAACAACCUCAUUCUGCCCUCAGCCAGCCCCAACCUGCCUGCCUCCCUACAACCAGUGCGGAGGGUAGCCCUGUUAACUUCCCCCUCCUCUGUCUCAGGUAGAAUGAGUCGGUUCUGCCUGCCAUUGGCUCUUGCUCCACCUGCUGUUUGGGUUCCCUGCCUUCCAUCCCACAGUCCCAACCGGCAUCAGCCACCACCACGUUUGGAAGAAGAGCCCCGUUUUUGUGGAAGAAAUCUCAUUUGCAUGAUGAGCAAUGUGCAACAACUAAGGCUUACCUAAUUGCCCCCUCGGAAAUUAUCCUCUGCAUUUGUCACGUGAAACAAGCCUCGUGCUUGUAUUGAUUUUGCAACAGAAAGCACUGAGAGUCUGCAUCCAGAGGGUAAGAAGGUUUUAUAUUUUCCAGAGUCUGCACAACUUGAGUUUCCAAUUGUUUCUCCAACAGAACUCCCUGUUUUCUAACACCUCUCACUGUUCUUAGUUUGGCUGCCAAGAAAGCUUUUUUUUUUUUUUUAUGUGUUAGUGUGCAGAGAUCUGAAUGAAAACUGCCACCCAGCCCCCUUCUCUCCAGGAAGUCUUUAGAAACUGAGUGGAGAGGAGAAAACAUCAUGAUUCCAGCAACACAUCUGCCUCUCAAUGCAUGUAUAUGAACAUUAAGGCGUUAUGUGGUGCACAGCCUGCCCUUCACCUUUGCGGUUGGUGGCAUUCAUUGUUGAACAUAUACAACACACUUUUUUUUUCUAGGAUCUGCUUAGCAGAAAUUACAUGCCCUCCGUUUACCUUUAAAUUAUGUGACCAGAGUCAAGAGAUAGCUAAAUCACUCCCUUACAAUGGCUCUGACUACAUGCCAGCACUUCUCUUUCAUCUCCUUAAAAGCUUGCAAACCAUUUUUCUUAAAAAAAAAAAAU